rnacentral:rRNA from 1 species
UAGUAUCAGCGUGUCAGCAGCCGCGGUAAUACGUAGGGUCCGAGCGUUGUCCGGAAUUAUUGGGCGUAAAGGGCUCGUAGGCGGUUUGUCGCGUCGGGAGUGAAAACAGCGGGCUUAACUCGUUGCUUGCUUCCGAUACGGGCAGACUAGAGGUAUGCAGGGGAGAAUGGAAUUCCUGGUGUAGCGGUGAAAUGCGCAGAUAUCAGGAGGAACACCGGUGGCGAAGGCGGUUCUCUGGGCAUUACCUGACGCUGAGGAGCGAAAGUGUGGGGAGCGAACAGGAUUAGAUACCCUGGUAGUCCACACCGUAAACGUUGGGCGCUAGGUGUGGGACCUAUUCCAUGGGUUCCGUGCCGUAGCUAACGCAUUAAGCGCCCCGCCUGGGGAGUACGGCCGCAAGGCUAAAACUCAAAUGAAUUGGCGG